AUAAUGUUAAUAAUAAUAAUAACAAAUGAGCCUUAUCCCCCUCAUAACAAAAUCAUUUAACUGCUACUGAGUAUGUUACUGCUAUGACGAUAAAUAGUCGGGAAACGCCAAAUGAUAUUGUGUUUUAUACUUGUAUUAUGGCAAACGAUGACGUAACGAAAUGCGAUUUUCGGGUACGGUGUUUAUAUUUCUCUCAUUCAUCAUUUUGCUUUUUGGCUUUGAAAGUUCACGACUACUCAUUAUCAUUAUGAAAAGAUUGAUGUGAAAAUGUUUAUAACGAGAAUAAUAUUGAUAUUUGUAUGAGAGAUCAUUCUUCAUUUCGGUAUUUCUCGGUCCAAUGAAUUAAAAUUUACGAUAAACACUGUCCAAAGCAAAAAUGUUUAAAUUGUAAUAAUUCUGAAUUCUGAGCAACCUAAUCAGUAAUUUUUACGUUCAAAUGUAUGUACCAGAUACCUAAUGCGAUGAUAU